UAACCAGGUCCACAUCUGCAUU
rnacentral:miRNA from 1 species